UCGGCAAAAAUCCCACAAAAUAAAAUUAUCGGAUAAACAAAAUAUUGUUCAGACAUUCUGUAGAUCUCUCUAUCCACUGUUCACUGUGGUGGAAUGCCAUUGUAGAAGCUCUGAAGCUCAUCCAUGGCGUCCUCUGCAACCCUUCUUUCUUUCUCCCCAUUACCUUCUAAUCCCCCCCUUCAUAACCAUUCAACCAACCCUAAAAUCCCAACUAUUCGUUACCGCCUCAGCAGACUAUGCCAAGAAGGUCAGCUCCAUCUUGCCCGCCAACUCUUCGACACUCUUCCUCGCCCUUCCACCGUUCUUUGGAACACAAUCAUCAUUGGAUUGGUCUGCAACAACUUCCCCGAUGAAGCCCUUCUCUUCUACAGCAAUAUGAAAUCGUCUUCUCCAGAAGUUAAGUGCGAUUCCUACACUUACUCUUCUAUUCUCAAGGCCUGUGCCGAUACUCGCAAUCUCGUGGUUGGUAAGGCCGUACAUGCUCAUUUUCUUCGAUGUUUGAUGAAUCCUAGUAGAAUUGUGCAUAAUUCCCUUUUGAAUAUGUAUUCUAUGUGUUUGAGCACUACCCCAGAUGGUAAAAUGGCUCCUGGUCAUUCGGGGAAUGAUUUGGUACGCAAGGUGUUUGAUACAAUGCGUAAGAGAACUGUCGUUGCUUGGAAUACCCUUAUUGCUUGGUAUGUUAGAACGGAGAGGUAUGCUGAAGCUGUGAAACAAUUUAGGCUGAUGUUGAAACUUGGAAUAAAGCCAAGCCCAGUUAGUUUCGUUAAUGUGUUUCCAGCCUUAUCAUGUUUGAGGAACUUAAAGAAAGCCAAUGUUGUUCAUGGAAUGCUUGUGAAGUUCGGCAGUGAAUAUGUUAACGACCUUUAUGUUGUGAGCUCUGCAAUUUUUAUGUAUGCUGAGCUCGGUCGGCUCGAAUGUUCUAAGAAGGUUUUCGACAGUUGUUUGGAGAGAAACACGGAGGUUUGGAAUACAAUGAUCAGUGCCUAUGUUCAAAACAAUUGUCCUUUUGAAGGAAUUCAACUCUUUCUUCAAGCUAUGGAGUCUGAAGAUGCUGCUCUUGAUGAAGUAACUCUUCUUUCAGCCAUAGCAGCAGUUUCACACUUGCAGACCUUUGAAUUAGCAGAACAGUUGCACGCAUUUGUCGUCAAGAAUGUAGCCGUGUCGCAAGUUUGUGUAAUGAACGCCCUCAUUGCCAUGUACUCCAGGUGCAACUCAACUGAUGUAUCAUUUAAAAUUUUCGAUUAUAUGCCUGAAAAGGAUGUUGUUUCAUGGAAUACAAUGAUCUCUGCUUUUGUUCAAAAUGGAUUGAACGAUGAAGCAUUAAUGCUUUUCUAUGAGAUGCAGAAGCAAGGUAUGAUGAUCGAUUCUGUGGCUGUUACCGCUCUGCUUUCAGCAGCUUCAGAUCUUAGAAACCCCAAUAUUGGUAAGCAAACUCAUGGCUAUCUACUUAGGAAUGGUAUCCAAUUUGAGGGAAUGGAUAGCUAUCUUAUAGACAUGUAUGCUAAAUCUGGUUUGAUUGAGGCUGCUCAAAAUGUAUUUGAGAAAAGCUAUAGUCAUGAAAGAGAUCAAGCUACUUGGAAUGCCAUGAUGUCCGGCUAUACACAAAACGGCCUCGUCCAUCAGGCCUUUCUCGUCCUUAGACAGAUGCUCGACCAAAAGAUAACGCCUAAUGUUGUGACACUAGCUUCGAUUCUUCCUGCUUGUAAUCCAUCAGGGUACAUAGAUUGGGGCAAGCAACUCCAUGGAUUCUCCAUCCGUAACGACUUGGACCAAAACGUCUUUGUUGCAACUGCUCUUAUCGACAUGUAUUCCAAAUCAGGGUCGAUCGCCAAUGCUGAAAAUGUUUUUAGAAAAGCUAGUGAGAGAAGUAUAGUCACUUAUUCCACCAUGAUAUUGGGUUAUGGUCAACAUGGGAUGGGUGAGAGUGCUCUCUCUAUGUUCCACACAAUGCAAAAAUCUGGUAUUAGGCCUGAUGCAGUUACCUUCGUAGCAAUCUUGUCUGCCUGUAGUUAUUCGGGUUUGGUCGACGAAGGCCUUCAAAUUUUUGAGUCAAUGAGAACUGUAUAUAACAUUCAACCAUCCACUGAACACUUCUGUUGUGUAGCAGACAUGCUGGGGAGGGUCGGGAGAGUGGACGAAGCCUAUGAGUUCGUCGUAGGAUUAGGGGAACAAGGGAAUGCAAUGGAAAUUUGGGGAUCACUUCUUGCUGCUUGUAGGAUUCAUAAACAAUUUGAGUUAGGAAAGGUUGUUGCCAAGAAGUUGCUUGAAAUGGAGAAAAGAAAUGGGAAGACAGGUUACCACGUUUUGCUUUCGAAUAUAUAUGCGGAGGAAAGAAACUGGGAAAACGUCGAUAUCGUUCGAAAACAGAUGAAGGAGAGAGGUUUGAAAAAGGAAACUGGAAGCAGUUGGAUUGAGAUUGCUGGUUAUAUGAACCAUUUUGCUUCCAAGGAUAGGAAACAUCCACAAUCCGAUCAGAUUUACAACAUGUUGGAGGAAUUACUGAUGGAGAUGAAACAUGCUGGUUAUAAACCACAGUUCACCUCCUAUGCCGGUGGUCUUCUGGAGACUGAUGAGUGAUACAUUGGCCAUAUUCAGGAGAAGAUGCACGAGGUAAGCUGUCAUGGCUUUGCUUUUGAUUUUCCCGAAAGGCCUCAUACCAAUGGGGAUGUAUUUUUUACUUAUGAACCCAUGAUCAACCUCGUAAUUAGCCGAUGUGGGACUCCUCUCCCAACAAUUCUCAACAGUGUCUUCAUAGCCUGAUAAAACUUAUUCAAGCCAUUCGUUUGACUGCUGCGUUUUCUUAGCCUAACUAGAUUACUGAUCUUUCUGCUUACCUUCGAGUUCAGCAAAUGCACGAAGUUAUCUGUGUUCUUAUGAGAUCCCACAUUGGUUGGAGAGGGGAACGAAGUAUUUUUUUUAUAAGAGUGUGAAAACCUCUCCCUAGCAGACGCGUUUUAAAACCGUUUGGCUGAUGGCGAUACGUAACGGGCCAAAGUGGACAAUAUUUGCUAGCAGUGGGCUCGGACUAUUACAAUUCUCCAUUGUCUCUUAGCAACAAAGCUGGACUGGGCCUUCACACGUCGUGUUUUCUCUGGUUUGGGUCACCUCUCAUCCACCCUGGACUAGAGUAAGUAAGUGUUACACUGAAAUGAACAAGUUUGGACGGGUCACCUUACAUCCACGGUUGAGUUGGCCAAUAUUCUGGUCACUCAAGAUGAACUUGUCUGUCUGUCGCAAGGCUCACCCACAAGCUACCCUUCAAC